ensembl:lncRNA
CUGGUCACAAAAAUAGUGGCAGACCUAUGGCUCACCGUUGACUUUCUGGUUGACUUCAGCGUUCUCUCUGCAGUGUGUGUGCUCAUUUGCUUGGUUGUGUCUGACUCUUGUGACCCGUGGACCACAGCCCACUAGGCUCCUCUGCUCAUGGACUUUUCCAGGCAAAUUGUUGGUUUCUCAGUCAUGUCUGACUUUGUGACCCUACGGACUGUAGCCUGGUAGGUUCCUCUGUCCAUGGGGAUUCUCCAGGCAAGAAUACUGAAGUCGGUUGCCAUGUCCUUCUCUAGGGGAUCUUCCCAAUCCAGGGAUUGAAUCCAGGUCUUCCACAUUGCAGGCGGAUUCUUCACCAUAUGAGCUACCAGGGAAGCCCAUGAAUACUGGAGUGGGUAGCCUAUCCCUUCUCCAGGGGAUCUUCCCAACUCAGGAAUCAAACUGGGGUCUCCUGCAUUGCAGGUGGAUUCUUUUACCAGCUGGGCUACCUGGGAAGUCUAGGCAAACUGUUGCUGCUGCUAAGUCACUUCAGUCGUGUCCGACUCUGUGUGACCCCACAGACGGCAGCCCACCAGGCUCCCCAGUCCCUGGGAUUCUCCAGGCAAGAAUGCUGGAGUAGGUUGUCAUUCCCUUCUCCAGUGCAUGAAAGUGAAAAGUGAAAGUGAAGUCGCUCAGUCAUGUCAGACUCUUAGUGACCCCAUGGACUACAGCCUACCAGGCUCUUCUGUCCAUGGGAUUUUCCAGGCAAGAGUACUGGAGUGGGGUGCCAUUGCCUUCUCCCAGGCAAACUUAGUGGGCUGCUAUUUUCUCUUCCAGGGGAUCUUCCUGACCCAAGGAUCAAACCUGCAUCUCUGGCGUCUCUUUUCAUUGGCAGGUGGGUUGUUUACCACUGAGCCACCUAGGAAUCCCUUCUAUACCAUGCAACUUUUAAGAACCGAAGCGUAUAGUUGAUGAUGACCAUAUAAAUAUAAUUGCAUAGAACAUUUACAUGCAUUCUCAAUUUUUAACAAAUGAGUGGAAGGAAAGUUUUGUGAUGGCAAGGAGAAGUAGAGAAAUCCAAGUUAAGAUGCAAGGUUUAAAAAAGAGGAAGUUAGGGUUAGGAGAGAGACUUAGGGAGAAGAGUAGAAAGAGAAAAGGGUAAGAUCUUUUUUGCUUUGACCUUGAAAUGUUAGACCUCUCAUAGAUCUAUAUAGAUUACUUAGAUUACUCUUGCCAACAAGAGUUUACCGAUAUAUUGUCAACUAUAAACUGGCACUUGCCAUCUACCUCUACAACGAUUAAAUCAUGUGAUUCAACAACCUCUGAAAGGAGUUCAGAGUAGAAAGCAGAAAUGAGGUACUCUGUGCUGAGGAGAAAACUGUCAGGACAGCUCUUCAGAUAUUUUAGGAGCCCA